ACAGCAUAAGAGAGGUAGUGACAAGAAAUAACAGUACAAGGCAGUUAAAAUGCUUUGUAAUUGGAAUGAUAGAAAUUUAAAUACUUUUUAAAGUAUCAAUUGGAGGGCAAGUCUGGUGCCAGCAGCCGCGGUAAUUCCAGCUCCAAUAGCGUAUAUUAAAAUUGUUGCAGUUAAAAAGCUCGUAGUUGAAUUUCUGCUAGAAAUAACCGGUUUGCUUUUAUUAAUAAAAGUGGUAUCUUGGUGUGUUUAUAGCAAUAAUGUUCUUUGAAAUGUUUUUUACUUUAUUGUAAAAAGCAAAAUUCAGGAUUUUUACUUUGAGAAAAUUAGAGUGUUUCAAGCAGGCUAACGUUUUGAAUACUGCAGCAUGGAAUAAUAAAAUAGGAUUUUAGUUCUACGUUAUUGGUUUUAAGAACUAAAUUAAUGAUUGAUAGGGGCAGUUGGGGGCAUUUGUAUUUAACUGUCAGAGGUGAAAUUCUUAGAUUUGUUAAAGACACACUACUGCGAAAGCAUUUGCCAAAGAUGUUUUCAUUAAUCAAGAACGAAAGUUAGGGGAUCGAAGACGAUC
rnacentral:rRNA from 1 species